UCCACCAUCAGCAGGGCUUCAUUUCUGCCCUAGGCAGAGUUCAUCCAGCCCUGAGGAUGAGAAUCAUUAUGUUCCUUCACCACAAAUCAAUAGGGAUCACCUCCUACCUGACUGACAGCAAACACAAACUGCAAAUUUACAGCAAUGUCAAUAAAAGGUCAUUAUCUCUCAGGCUGACUGCCCAAGCCUGGCUCCCACACUGAAAGCUGCUGGAGUAAAUCUAAGGCUGUGAAUGAAUGAAUGAAAUAUUUAACUUGGAGCCCUGCAGGCUGAAUCCAGUAGGUAAUGGAUAAGGGCUACACUUGUAUUGACUGACUCGUUAACUCCKUGGGUUUGCUUACAUUCCAGAUUGUCUGCCUUUAAUGAGGACUGUCUGAAYUCUACGAAGCUUCUUUUGUUCAUGAAGAGUGCUUCUAGUGAGUAAUAUGUUGUCAGAAUUCAAGUUUGGGCUUGCCAACUUCUCUUCUUAGGAGUCACUACUCUUGUAAAAAGUUCCUUGAAAGAUGCACGGAUCCUCUCACAGGACAUGACAGAGCUCAGAGSGUUUGGCUCUGAGGUUUUUCACUGCAGCACCAUGUGAGUCCUUYGGGGAAAGCACAGGAUUUGUACAACAGGACACAUGCCAGGCUGGAAAUUCUGCUUCUAUUAGGACAUAAAUGUGAAAUGUCACCAAAACAAAACUAAUGKGAAGAUUUUUCCAAGAACACACUUCAAGGUUCUGGGGAAAUUUUUAUCUGCGUUAUCAUAUCCACUCAAAGCAAAAUUUGUAUUUAAACUGAGUCUGCUUGGCUGAAAGAUAAAAAUUGAAGGAGUUUAAGAGCCUUCUUGAAUGCUUCUUUUUUUUUC